rnacentral:rRNA from 1 species
UACAGGGGGUGCAAACGUUGCUCGGAAUCAUUGGGCGUAAAGCGCACGUAGGCGGUUCGUUAUGUCGGAUGUGAAAGCCCUUGGCUUAACCGAGGAAGUGCAUCCGAAACUGGCGAGCUAGAGUACGAAAGAGGAUCGCGGAAUUCCCGGUGUAGAGGUGAAAUUCGUAGAUAUCGGGAGGAACACCGGUGGCGAAGGCGGCCUUCUGGACAGUGACUGACGCUGAGAUGCGAAAGCGUGGGGGAGCAAACAGG